rnacentral:rRNA from 1 species
GCACAGAGUUAGCCGGUGCUUCCUCACCCGGUACCGUCAAUCUGGUCGAAACCAGGAUUCGUCCCGGGCAACAGGGGUUUACAAUCCGAAGACCUUCCUCCCCCACGCGGCGUCGCUGCGUCAGCCUUUCGGCCAUUGCGCAAUAUUCCCCACUGCUGCCUCCCGUAGGAGUCUGGGCCGUAUCUCAGUCCCAAUGUGGCUGGCCAUCCUCUCAGACCAGCUACCCGUCGUAGCCUUGGUGAGCCAUUACCUCACCAACUAGCUGAUAAGCCGCGAGCCCCUCCAUGUGCCCCGAAGGUUUCCUUCUCAGAGAAUGCCCUCCGAGAAGCGUAUGCGGUAUUACUUGGCCGUUGGGCCAGCUAUCCCCCACACUUGGGCAGGUUGCUCACGUGUUACGCACCCGUUCGCCGGUGACCCAUUGCUGAGCCCCCUGACUUGCAUGUGUUAAGCACGCCGCCAGCGUUCGUC